AUUGAACGCUGGCGGCAUGGCUAAAACAUGCAAGUCGAACGCGAAAAUGGAGCUUGCUCCAUGAGUAGAGUGGCGAAAGGGCGAGUAAUGCGUUCCUAACGUGCCUCAAGGCCAGGGAUAGCCCAGGGAAACCUGGAUUAAUACCUGAUAACCCCGUUGAACCGUAUGAUUUAACGGGCAAAGGCUUGCUACCUUGAGAUCGGGGAACGUGCUAUCAGCUUGUUGGUGAGGUAAAAGCUCACCAAGGCUAAGACGGCUAGCGGGUGUGAGAGCACGGCCCGCCGCAUCGGGACUGAGACACUGCCCGG
rnacentral:rRNA from 1 species